ensembl:lncRNA
CACAGACCCCAUAGGAAACCCCAUAGCCGCCAUUACCCCAUACAAAACCCCAUAGGGAACCCCACAGCAAACCCCAUAGAUCCCAUUACCCCACAGGAAACCCCAUAAGAAACCCCACAGACCCCAUAGGAAACUCCAUAGCUGCCAUUACCCCAUACGAAACCCCAUAGGGAACCCCACAGCAAAGCCCAUAGAUCCCAUUACCCCAUAGGAAACCCCAUAGGGAACCCCACAGACCCCAUAGGAAACCCCAUAGCUGCCAUUACCCCAUAGGAUACCCCAUAGGGAACCCCACAGACCCCACAGGAAACCCCAUAGGGAACCCCACACAUCCCAUAGCCCCCAUUACCCCAUAGGAAACCCCAUAGGGAACCCCACAGACCCCAUAGCAAACCCCAUAGACCCCAUUACCCCAUAGGAUACCCCAUAGGGAACCCCACAGACCCCAUAGCAAACCCCAUAGAUCCCAAUACCCCACAGGAAACCCCAUAGGGAAUCCCACAGACCCCACAGCAAACCCCAUAGAUCCCAUAACCCCAUAGGGAACCCCAUAGGGAACCCCACAGACCCCAUUGGAAACCCCAUAGACCCCAUUACCCCACAGGAAACCCCAUAGGGAAUCUCACAGACCCCACAGCAAACCCCAUAGAUCCCAUAACCCCAUAGGGAACCCCAUAGGAAACCCCACAGACCCCAUAGCAAACCCUGUAGGGAACCCCACAGACCCCAUAGGAAACCCCAUAGAUCCCAUAACCCCAUAGGAAACUCCAUAGGGAACCCCACACAUCCCAUAGCCCCCAUUACCCCAUAGGGAACCCCACAGACCCCAUAGGAAACCCCAUAGAUCCCAUUACCCCACAGGAAACCCCAUAGGGAAUCCCACAGACCCCACAGCAAACCCCAUAGAUCCCAUAACCCCAUAGGGAACCCCAUAGGGAACCCCACAGACCCCAUUGGAAACCCCAUAGACCCCAUUACCCCACAGGAAACCCCAUAGGGAAUCUCACAGACCCCACAGCAAACCCCAUAGAUCCCAUAACCCCAUAGGGAACCCCAUAGGAAACCCCACAGACCCCAUAGCAAACCCUGUAGGGAACCCCACAGACCCCAUAGGAAACCCCAUAGAUCCCAUAACCCCAUAGGAAACUCCAUAGGGAACCCCACACAUCCCAUAGCCCCCAUUACCCCAUAGGGAACCCCACGGACCCCAUAGGAAACCCCAUAGCUCCCAUUACCCCACAGGAAACCCCAUAGGGAACCCCACAGACCCCAUAGGAAACCCCAUAGACCCCAUUAACUCAUGGGAAACCCCAUAGGGAACCCCACAGACCCCAUAGCAAACCCCAUAGAUCCCAUUACCCCAUAGGAAAGACCAUAGGGAAUCCCACAGACCCCACAACAAAGCCCAUAGACCCCAUUACCCCAUAGGAGACCCCAUAGGGAACCCCAUAGACCCCAUAGGAAACCCCAUAGCCGCCAUUACCCCAUAGGAAACCCCAUAGGAAACCCCACAGACCCCAUAGGAAACCCCAUAGGGAACCCCACAGACCCCAUAGGAAACCCCAUAGCCGCCAUUACCCCAUAGGAAAGCCCAUAGGGAACCCCACACAUCCCAUAGCCCCCAUUACCCCAUAGGAAACCCCAUAGGGAACCCCACAGACCCCAUAGGAAACCCCAUAGACCCCAUUACCCCAUAGGAUACCCCAUAGGGAACCCCACAGACCCCACAGGAAACCCCAUAGGGAACCCCACACAUCCCAUAGCCCCCAUUACCCCAUAGGAAACCCCAUAGGGAACCCCACAGACCCCAUAGCAAACCCCAUAGACCCCAUUAACCCAUAGGAAACCCCAUAAGGAACCCCACAGACCCCAUAGGAAACCC